rnacentral:lncRNA from 1 species
UAAGAUGUAUGUAAAAUUAGAGAACACUAACUAAGAAAUGUUGCUUUUUGUUUAUUUUCUAUUUUCCUUAUUAUUUGAUAGUUGCUCAUAAAAACUCUUAGGUUUAGUCAAGCGUAAAGUUCUAUAUUGAAUAUGUGGGGAGGAAUGAAAUGAUUUAUAAGUAGAAAAUGUUCAUGAAACUAAUGCAUUAAGUUUAUUCAAGCGUG